rnacentral:rRNA from 1 species
UACGUAGGGUGCAAGCGUUGUCCGGAAUUAUUGGGCGUAAAGGGCUCGUAGGCGGUCCAUCGCGUCGGGAGUGAAAAGCUGGGGCUUAACCCCAGUCCUGCUUCCGAUACGGGUGGACUAGAGGUAGGUAGGGGAGAUCGGAAUUCCUGGUGUAGCGGUGAAAUGCGUAGAUAUGUGGAGGAACACCGAUGGCGAAGGCAGCCCCCUGGGUUAACACUGACGCUCAUGCACGAAAGCGUGGGGAGCAAACAGG